rnacentral:rRNA from 1 species
CCUACGGGAGGCAGCAGUGGGGGAUAUUGCACAAUGGGGGGAACCCUGAUGCAGCGACGCCGCGUGGGUGAAGGAGCGUUUCGGCGCGUAAAGCCCUAUCGGCAGGGAAGAAGCUGACGGUACCUGGCCAAGAAGCCCCGGCUAACUACGUGCCAGCAGCCGCGGUAAUACGUAGGGGGCAAGCGUUAUCCGGAUUUCCUGGGGGUAAAGGGGGCGCAGACGGCAAUGCAAGCCAGGAGUGAAAGCCCGGGGCCCAACCCCGGGACUGCUCUUGGAACUGCAUGGCUGGAGUACAGGAGGGGCAGGCGGAAUUCGUGGUGUAGCGGUGAAAUGCGUAGAUAUUAGGAGGAACCCCGGUGGCGAAGGCGGCCUGCUGGACUGUGACUGACGUUGAGGCCCGAAGGCGUGGGGAGCAAACAGGAUUAGAUACCCGUGUAGUC